rnacentral:rRNA from 1 species
AGUGAAACUGUAGAUGGCUCAUUAAAACAGUUGAUGUCUAUACAGUUGAAGCUUAGAUGUAUAACUACGGUAAUUCUGUAGCUAAUACAUGAUACAGGCCUGACUUUUUGGAAAGGCUGUUUUUAUUAUUUGUUGAAUCAGAACGCUUCGGCGUAGUUGAUUGAAUGCAAAUAAGAACUAGCAUCCCUUCGGGGAGAAACUGUGUGAUCUCCUGACCUAUCAGCUUCCGACGGUAAGGUAUUGGCUUACCGUGGCUGUGACGGGUAACGGGGAAUUGGGGUUCGAUUCCGGAGAAGGGGCCUGAGAAAUGGCCACUACAUCUAAGGAUGGCAGCAGGCGCGCAAAUUACCCAAUCCUAACUCAGGGAGGUAGUGACAAGAAAUAACAACGCUGAAGUUUCUUCUGCGAUUGUAAUGAGAGGAGUUAAAAGCACUCUUCGAGAAUCAAUUGGAGGGCAAGUCUGGUA